rnacentral:rRNA from 1 species
AGAAGCAGCCAUCAUUUAAAGAGUGCGUAAUAGCUCACUAGUCGAGUGACACUGCGCCGAAAAUGUACCGGGGCUAAACAUAUUACCGAAGCUGUGGAUUGUCCUUUGGACAAUGGUAGGAGAGCGUUCUAAGGGCGUUGAAGCAUGAUCGUAAGGACAUGUGGAGCGCUUAGAAGUGAGAAUGCCGGUGUGAGUAGCGAAAGACGGGUGAGAAUCCCGUCCACCGAUUGACUAAGGUUUCCAGAGGAAGGCUCGUCCGCUCUGGGUUAGUCGGGUCCUAAGCUGAGGCCGACAGGCGUAGGCGAUGGAUAACAGGUUGAUAUUCCUGUACCACCUAUAAUCGUUUUAAUCGAUGGGGGGACGCAGUAGGAUAGGCGAAGCGUGCGAUUGGAUUGCACGUCUAAGCAGUAAGGCUGAGUAUUAGGCAAAUCCGGUACUCGUUAAGGCUGAGCUGUGAUGGGGAGAAGACAUUGAGUCUUCGAGUCGUUGAUUUCACACUGCCGAGAAAAGCCUCUAGAUAGAAAAUAGGUGCCCGUACCGCAAACCGACACAGGUAGUCAAGAUGAGAAUUCUAAGGUGAGCGAGCGAACUCUCGUUAAGGAACUCGGCAAAAUGACCCCGUAACUUCGGGAGAAGGGGUGCUCUUUAGGGUUAACGCCCAGAAGAGCCGCAGUGAAUAGGCCCAAGCGACUGUUUAUCAAAAACACAGGUCUCUGCUAAACCGUAAGGUGAUGUAUAGGGGCUGACGCCUGCCCGGUGCUGGAAGGUUAAGAGGAGUGGUUAGCUUCUGCGAAGCUACGAAUCGAAGCCCCAGUAAACGGCGGCCGUAACUAUAACGGUCCUAAGGUAGCGAAAUUCCUUGUCGGGUAAGUUCCGACCCGCACGAAAGGCGUAACGAUUUGGGCACUGUCUCAACGAGAGACUCGGUGAAAUCAUAGUACCUGUGAAGAUGCAGGUUACCCGCGACAGGACGGAAAGACCCCGUGGAGCUUUACUGUAGCCUGAUAUUGAAAUUCGGCACAGCUUGUACAGGAUAGGUAGGAGCCUUUGAAACGUGAGCGCUAGCUUACGUGGAGGCGCUGGUGGGAUACUACCCUAGCUGUGUUGGCUUUCUAACCCGCACCACUUAUCGUGGUGGGAGACAGUGUCAGGCGGGCAGUUUGACUGGGGCGGUCGCCUCCUAAAAGGUAACGGAGGCGCUCAAAGGUUCCCUCAGAAUGGUUGGAAAUCAUUCAUAGAGUGUAAAGGCAUAAGGGAGCUUGACUGCGAGACCUACAAGUCGAGCAGGGUCGAAAGACGGACUUAGUGAUCCGGUGGUUCCGCAUGGAAGGGCCAUCGCUCAACGGAUAAAAGCUACCCCGGGGAUAACAGGCUUAUCUCCCCCAAGAGUUCACAUCGACGGGGAGGUUUGGCACCUCGAUGUCGGCUCA